rnacentral:rRNA from 1 species
GGUGAACGCUGGCGGCGUGCUUAAGACAUGCAAGUCGAACGGCAGUCUUCGGACUGUAGUGGCGCACGGGUGAGUAACGCGUAACUGACCUACCCCAAAGUCGCGGAUAACGAUUCGAAAGAAUCGCUAAUACGUGAUGUGCUGUCAGAUUGUGUUCUGCCAGUAAAGAUUGAUUGCUUUGGGAUGGGGUUGCGUUCCAUCAGCUAGUUGGUGGGGUAAAGCCCACCAAGGCGACGACGGAUAGCCGGCCUGGGAGGGUGGCCGGCCACAGGGGCACUGAGACACGGGUCCCACUCCUACGGAGGCAGCAGUUAGGAAUCUUCCACAAUGGGCGAAAGCCUGAUGGAGCGACGCCGCGUGAGGGAUGAAGGUCUUCGGAUCGUAAACCUCUGAAUCAGGGACGAAAGACACUUCGGUGGGAUGACGGUACCUGAGUAAUAGCACCGGCUAACUCCGUGCCAGCCGCCGCAGUAACAC